rnacentral:rRNA from 1 species
CAUUACUGAAGAAUGAUAGGGUUGAGCUGACUCUGCGGAGUAUGUGCUUGCACUAUCGCUUUUUCUAUUCUCCCUUGUGAACCCUUUGUAGACUUUUUAUGAUAUUGACUUCGGUCAUUUGAGACUCGCAUCUCUGAUGCUUGAUUCUACUCUUAUCAUAUUAGUCUAUGAUUUUACAUAUCUACUCUUCAGUUUAUGAAUGUCUCUUUGUUGGUUUUUGAAUACCAAUAAAUUGUUUGUACAACUUUCAGCAACGGAUCUCUUGGCUCUCGCAUCGAUGAAGAACGCAGCGAAAUGCGAUAAGUAAUGUGAAUUGCAGAAUUCAGUGAAUCAUCGAAUCUUUGAACGCACCUUGCACUCCUUGGUAUUCCGAGGAGUAUGCCUGUUUGAGUGUCAUUAAAUUCUCAAACUUUUUCCUUGUUAAUCUUGGAGACAGUUUGGAUAUGAGAGUUGCUGGUUUUCUUAAAUCAGCUCUCUUUAAAUGCAUUAGUAGUUUUGGCUUUGUUCCACAUUCUCAAUUGAUGUGAUAGUUAUCUACAUCAUUAGAGUUUGAAUCUGCUUAUAACUGUCUUUAUUGACAAACCUUUUUUGACAAUUUGACCUCAAAUCAGGUAGGACUACCCGCUGAACUUAAGCAUAUCAAUAAGCGGAGGAAAAGAAACUAACAAGGAUUCCCCUAGUAACUGCGAGUGAAGCGGGAAAAGCUCAAAUUUGAAAUCUGGCAGUUCUUGUAGCUGUCCGAGUUGUAAUUUAGAGAAGUGUUGCCCGCGCUGGACCGUAUAUAAGUCCUUUGGAAUGAGGCGUCAUAGAGGGUGAGAAUCCCGUCUUUGAUACGGACUACCAGUGCUUUGUGGUAUGCUCUCAAAGAGUCGAGUUGUUUGGGAAUGCAGCUCAAAAUGGGUGGUAAAUUCCAUCUAAAGCUAAAUAUAGGCGAGAGACCGAUAGCGAACAAGUACCGUGAGGGAAAGAUGAAAAGAACUUUGGAAAGAGAGUUAAACNGUACGUGAAAUUGCUGAAAGGGAAACGCUUGAAGUCAGUCGCAUUGGUUGAGAAUCAGCCUUGCUUUUGCUUGGUGUACUUCUUAGCUGAUG